CAAAGCAAUUUUAAGGGACAAAUCCCACCAUCAGAACCACAGAACAGCUGAGGUCACAAGGCAGCCCUGGAGAUGGCUUUGUUCAAACCAGGGUGGGCUAGAGCAGGUUGCCCAGCACCGUGUCCAGUGGGAUUUGGAUUACUUCCAAGGACAGAGAAUACACAACCAACAGUGGCAACCUGUUACAGUGCUCUUAUCAAACUUUCUCCAGAACAAUAAGACCUGACUCCCCUAUUAAGAAGCCAAACUUUAUCAUGCCAACUGUUAGAAGCUGUACCAUGGAUGUGCCCCUCAGCCUUGUAAGAAGUGCAAUCUGGAAGGCUUCUGAGCUGCUGAGUCCUCUCAUUCUUUGAAUUUGAGCCAACCUGCCUCUGUUUCAGUGUACUGGUGGACUUGAGAGGCCUCGAAGAAGACAACCUGCAUUGCACAGUUUCUACUAGGAAAAGACUUAGAGGCUGCAGAUUUACAAAAAGUUCACAGAGCAGUGACCCCGAGACAGCAGCUAUGCAGAAACUCUUUAGUCACAUAAAACUGACAUUUGUGUAAUA